CAGAAAUAAAUCACCGACUCAGAGCAAAAAUUCUCUUCUAUGCGUUGAGACGCAACACAACGGUCAUGAAGGGAUUGAACGGAGACGGAGACGGACGGCGGAGGGAGACGCACGGCGGAGGAAUCGUGAAGGGAUUGAACCCUAUCUUGUUCGGACAGACGGAGGAGGAUGGAGUCGAAGAUAGAUUGACGGAGACGGACGGCGGAGGGAGACGCACGGCGGAGGAAUCGUGAAGGGAUUGAACCCUAACUUGUUCGUAAGUUACGUACAUCAUCUUUGAUCUUCUUUUGUUACUAUAUCUGAUUAUGAACCCUAACUUGUUCGUAAGUUAGGUACAUCAUCUUUGAUCUUUCUUAUUCUGAAUUUGAACCUUAGGGGUCUUUCUUUGUGAUUCUUUCUGUGCUUUGUUGGGUUUUUCAAAGAUCAGAUCACAAUUCAACGAGUCUGAACCCAAAACAUGAAUCGUGAACGGUAUAUUAAUUUCUCUUUAAGUCUAUUUAUACAUGUUCUGAUUGAUUUUGGUAUCAAGCUACUCAUAAUAAGUUUGUGCAUGUUAUGUUGAUCUAUUGAAUUACUUUGGAUGAUGUUAUCGGGAAGAUGAAAGUGCUUGAUGUACAAAAAGGAUGUGACAGUGGUUGUGGUGUAUACGGAGGAGGAGGAUACACAGAGGGUUUGCGACAUUGAGUCUUGUCUACUCGCAACCAGACUCGGGACUACCGCAUAUCUCUGGCACAAGGUUUGAGUACGUGUUUUCCCCAAAAUAUGCAACAGGUUGAUUUGAUGUCAUAGUUUCUAUACCAAAUCAGAUAAGGUAUAACUGUCUUAACUAGGCUUAGAAUUAAUAUAAAGUCAGAAAAGUGUCAUAGUUAGAUAUUGUAGAUAUAGAUAGUUAAGAUGUUCUCUAUCAAUUUGUGCUUUAGUGAAGAAUUUGUAUUCUCUAUCAAUUUUGUUCCUCAACGCUGAAGCACUCAGUUGAUUUUCCUCGUUAAUCAUCUAAAGAAGAUGAAACAAACUCCAUGGUUCUAAUGCUCUGUAAGUGACAGCUAAAUCUUACUUUAAUUCUUGUAUAUCUUUCUGGUCAUGUGUCCACUAAGGUGAAGUCAAAACUUGAGAAACAAAGGCUAUGUUACUGCCUCGCUGGUAUGGAUAUUGUUGGAAGUCAAAGAGUUCAAAAGAGUGUGAGUAUCUUGUCGGAUAACGUCUCUUCAUAUGACACUAAAAGUGGCAGAAGUCUCACCUUGGAGUUAAAACAAGCGAACUCCACUUACUGUUGUGGGUUUUACUCUGCUUUUCUUAGUUGCUGAAAAGAUUGUUGUGUCCAUCAAAGCCCUAAAUCUGACAAGCAAUAUGUUUGGGAAUCGGUAGCUGAUAGUAGCUCAUAUGACGAUGACAAGUAUGAAUUUGAGGAGACUACGAGGAUCAAGAAUCUUGUUAAGAAUUACUCUCAGUUUGCUGGGUUUUCCAUCUAUACAUGGCAGGAGAAAUCAAGGACUAUAGAGAGGAAGAACCAGUGAAGGAAGGAGAAGGGGAAGUAGAAAAAGAAGAGUACAAUAAGUUCUACAAAAAAGCUUUCAGUGAGAUCUUGGAUCCGCUUCCUCACACGCACUUCACAACAGAGGGUGAGGUUUGAGUUCAGGAGCAUUUUGUAACAACGAGGAUGUGAAAAACCCUAAGACAAAGAACAUUCGACUUUACGUGAAGCGUGUGUUUAUCUCUGACGAUUUUGAUGGAGAACCUUUCCCAAGAUGAUCUUCCUCUUAACGUUUCCAAUGAAAUUUCUCCAAGAAAGCAGGAUUGUAAGAAUCAUGAGAAAGGGUCUCAUUAGGAAAACCUUUGACAAGCUUGGGUGAAUAUAUCGAGAACAUGGGAGAGAACCAAAAGGUGAUCUACUACCUUGCAACCGAUAGCUUAAAGAGUGCCAAGUCCGCCCCUUUCUUGGAAAAACUAAUCCAAAAAGACAUCGAGGUUCUAUACUUGGUUGAUGAGGUUGCAAUUCAGAAUUUACAAAUCUACAAAGAAAAGAAGUUGGUUGAUAUCAGCAAAGAAGAUUUGGAACUUGGUAAGUAUUAUUUUCGUCAAACCUCGUGCAUUUGUUUGUAACAAAUUCUCUCUUUUCUCGCAGGAGAUGAAGAUGAAGUAAAGGAUGUGACAGUGGAGGAGUACGUCGUGGUGGUGUAUACGGA